UACGUAGGGGGGCAAGCGUUGUCCGGAUUCAUUGGGCGUAAAGAGCGUGUAGGCGGCCAGGUAGGUCGGUUGUGAAAACUGGAGGCUCAACCUUCAGAGGUCGACCGAAACCAUCUGGCUAGAGUCCGGGAGAGGAGAGUGGGAAUUCCGUGGUGUAGCGGUGAAAUGCGCAGAUAUCAGGAAGAACACCCGUGGCGAAAGCGGCUCUCUGGAACGGUACUGACGCUGAGGAGCGAAAGCCAGGGGAGCAAACGGG
rnacentral:rRNA from 1 species